UGGGGAAUAUUGGACAAUGCGCGAAAGCCUGAUCCAGCCAUGCCGCGUGUGUGAAGAAGGUCUUCGGAUUGUAAAGCACUUUAAGUUGGGAGGAAGGGCAUUAACCUAAUACGUUAGUGUUUUGACGUUACCGACAGAAUAAGCACCGGCUAACUCUGUGCCAGCAGCCGCGGUAAUACAGAGGGUGCAAGCGUUAAUCGGAAUUACUGGGCGUAAAGCGCGCGUAGGUGGUUUGUUAAGUUGGAUGUGAAAUCCCCGGGCUCAACCUGGGAACUGCAUUCAAAACUGACUGACUAGAGUAUGGUAGAGGGUGGUGGAAUUUCCUGUGUAGCGGUGAAAUGCGUAGAUAUAGGAAGGAACACCAGUGGCGAAGGCGACCACCUGGACUAAUACUGACACUGAGGUGCGAAAGCGUGGGGAGCAAACA
rnacentral:rRNA from 1 species